rnacentral:rRNA from 1 species
UAGGGAAUCUUCCGCAAUGGGCGAAAGCCUGACGGAGCAACGCCGCGUGAGUGAUGAAGGUCUUCGGAUCGUAAAACUCUGUUAUUAGGGAAGAACAAAUGUGUAAGUAACUAUGCACGUCUUGACGGUACCUAAUCAGAAAGCCACGGCUAACUACGUGCCAGCAGCCGCGGUAAUACGUAGGUGGCAAGCGUUAUCCGGAAUUAUUGGGCGUAAAGCGCGCGUAGGCGGUUUUUUAAGUCUGAUGUGAAAGCCCACGGCUCAACCGGGGAGGGUCAUUGGAAACUGGAAAACUUGAGGGCAGAAGAGGAAAGUGGAAUUCCAUGUGUAGCGGUGAAAUGCGCAGAGAUAUGGAGGAACACCAGUGGCGAAGGCGACUUUCUGGUCUGUAACUGACGCUGAUGUGCGAAAGCGUGGGGAUCAAACAGG